CUGGGGAAUUGCUGCAGGUACUCUCACCAUACAGAUACACAUCAGAGACAGGGGUGGCGGGGCGGACGCUAACAUGGGAUGGAUCUCAUACGGGUAUUUCGCAUUUGAGGAGAUAGGACCAACCGGCACUGGGUCAUGUGAUUCAUAUACUUUGUUCAACGUUAAAGAGUUUACCCUCCACCAGGAGAUUUCAACACGAGAUGAAAAUGCAUACAUGACGGAAACCUACACAAAGCGGGCGUCGGACACUAGUGUAGCAGUGUUCUUUACUGGCACCCUUCGCGAGUAUGGAAA